rnacentral:rRNA from 1 species
AUAUGGUCAAGUUACUAAGGGUGUAUGGGGGAUGUCUAGGCGUCGAGAGGCGAUGAAGGACGUGGUAGGCUGCGAUAAGCCCGGGGCAGGUGUCAAACAACCGUUAACCCCGAGAUCUCCGAAUGGGGCAACCCAAUACCGGCGGGCAACCGUCCGGUAUUAUCCAUGGCUGAAUGCAUAGGCCAUGUGAAGCGAACGCAGGGAACUGAAACAUCUAAGUACCUGCAGGAAAGGAAAUCAAACGAGACUCCGUCAGUAGCGGCGAGCGAAAUCGGAUCUAGCCCAAACCAGACUUCGGUCUGGGGUUGCGGGCGUUGAUAAGGAGUUACAAAGGCAGCGUCAGUUGAACGGUCUGGAAAGUCCGACCAUAGAAGGUGAUAGUCCUGUACGCGAAAGCGACUGCCCUCCGUUACUAUCAACGUACCAGAGUAGCACGGUGCUCGUGAAACUCCGUGUGAAGCUGGGGGGUCCACCCUCCAAGGCUAAGUAUUCCUCGACAACCGAUAGUGAAAAGUAGCGUGAGCGAACGAUGAAAAGUACCCCUAUUAGGGGAGUUAAAAGUACCUGAAACCAUACACUUACAAGCUGUGGGAGCCCUAUGAUCUUCGGAUAAUGGGUGACCGCGUGCCUUUCGCAUAAUGAGCCGGCGAGUUACCGUUUGUGGCAAGG